rnacentral:lncRNA from 1 species
AUCCUUAUACAUUCCAUAUUUAUGAUCUAAUUAUUUCUUUUACAGAGCCAAGGAGAGAAGGUGAAGAAGGGAAGGGAUGAGAUGUGUGGAAAAGGAUCGAUGAAAAGCAAUUAGGUGACUGGGGCCUGCUCCCUUGGGAGCCUGGAAGCUGGCUGUAUUUGGGAUCUGAUUUUAGCUGAGCAUCUCAUGAAUUCCUCAAAGCGUGGGAGGACUCGUGUCAAAAUCUGAGCUGUGUGGGAAUUGUGAUUUCAUCGAGUAUCCUGGCAACAUCACCCGCCCCCGGAGCAGGAGCUAAGAGAGACUGUAAAAAAAGCACAUGCAUGUAUGUAACCCCUUUCUCCAGACAGAUUCCCAGGGUCCCCUCAGCGGGAGUCACCCAGGGAAGGCUUCUUCCUGCAUCACAGCUCACCAGCACAGACGGGCCCUGCUGCUUCAGCAGAUUCCCCCUGCGAAGGGGUUACCCUUCCCAGCAUUCCUCUGCAGACAGACUCCAGGGUGGGGGCUCCUCUCUCUUACUGCACCAAAUCCUGGGAGACAGAGGAGGAAGUUGACCAAAGGAAUUCUCUGAUCAUCUUGAUGAAUUUGCUGGGUAAAGAGUCUUUGGGGCUUCUGAAAGCAUCUCUUAAAAGAAAAGGCAUCUUUUUGAAAAAGAAAAUGCAGAAAAUAGAUGGCUAGAAAGAAGGACAGAGAAGCAGGAUAGCUUCGAAAGCUAUCAGUUGCAUUUACUGCACACAUAAAAAGAAAAGUGAAUUGUACAUUAUAGAGGUAU